CCCUUAGAUGUUCUGGGCCGCACGCGUGCUACACUGAGUGGAUCAGCGGGUCAGGUUGCGCGAAAGUGUUUCCUAAUCUUGAAAUCGGCUCGUGAUGGGGAUUGACGGUUGCAAUUUUCCGUCAUGAACGAGGAAUACCUUGUAAGCGCGGGUCAUCAUCCCGCGCUGAAUACGUCCCUGCCCUUUGUACACACCGCCCGUCGCUCCUACCGAUUGAGUGGUCCGGUGAGGCUUUGGGAUCUGAGCGGAAAGAGCGUUUCGCUGUUUCUGCUCGGAAAACUCAGUCGAACCUUAUCAUUUAGAGGAAGGAGAAGUCGUAACA
rnacentral:rRNA from 1 species